AGAUUGAACGCUGGCGGCAUGCCUUACACAUGCAAGUCGAACGCGAAAGCGGGGCAACCCGCAAGUAGAGUGGCGAACGGGUGAGUAAUACAUCGGAACGUAUCCAGUAGCGGGGGAUAACCUGUCGAAAGAUAGGCUAAUACCGCAUACGAUCUACGGAUGAAAGCGGGGGACCGCAAGGCCUCGCACUAUUGGAGCGGCCGAUGUCGGAUUAGCUAGUUGGUGGGUAAAGGCUUACCAAGGCAACGAUCCGUAGCUGGUCUGAGAGGACGAUCAGCCACACUGGAACUGAGACACGGUCCAGACUCCUACGGGAGGCAGCAGUGGGAAUUUGGACAAUGGGCGCAAGCCUGGACCCAGCCAUGCCGCGUGAGUGAAGAAGGCCUUCGGGUGUAAGCUCUUCGGUGGAGACGAAACGGUUCGUAGUAAUAACACGACUACUGACGUACCACAGAAGAAGCACGCAACUACGUGCCAGCAGCCGACGUAA
rnacentral:rRNA from 1 species